UGGGGAAUUUUGGACAAUGGGGGAAACCCUGAUCCAGCCAUCCCGCGUGUGCGAUGAAGGCCUUCGGGUUGUAAAGCACUUUUGGCAGGAAAGAAACGUCGCGGGUUAAUACCCCGCGAAACUGACGGUACCUGCAGAAUAAGCACCGGCUAACUACGUGCCAGCAGCCGCGGUAAUACGUAGGGUGCAAGCGUUAAUCGGAAUUACUGGGCGUAAAGCGUGCGCAGGCGGUUCGGAAAGAAAGAUGUGAAAUCCCAGAGCUUAACUUUGGAACUGCAUUUUUGAACUACCGGGCUAGAGUGUGUCAGAGGGAGGUGGAAUUCCGCGUGUAGCAGUGAAAUGCGUAGAUAUGCGGAGGAACACCGAUGGCGAAGGCAGCCUCCUGGGCAUAACACUGACGCUCAUGCACGAAAAGCGUGGGGAGCAAACAGGAUUAGAUACCCUGGUAGUCCACGCCCUAAAANGAUGUCAACUAGCUGUUGGGGGCCUUCGGGCCUUGGUAGCGCAGCUAACGCGUGAAGUUGACCGCCUGGGGGAGUACGGUCGCAAGAUUAAAAACUCAAAGGAAUU
rnacentral:rRNA from 1 species